rnacentral:lncRNA from 1 species
UAUAAGUCAAUGCCUGCUUUGCUCACAAAUCAAAAACCAAAACUUGCUAAUCCUUGUUAUUACACACUAUCCUUGCUCUGUGUUGAACAUGGCUACAAGCCCCUUUCGAUAUUUUAUUUCCCUUUUUCUGCUUUUGCUCUGUUUCGAAGCCUGUUUGAGGGUGGGUGAUGCUAAAGUUGGGUGCAGAGAGAGGGAGAGGCAAGCUCUCCUUCACUUCAAACAAGGUGUUGUCGAUGACGAUGGAGUGCUUUCUUCAUGGGGGAAUGGGGAAGACAAAAGAGAUUGUUGCAAAUGGAGAGGAGUCAAGUGUAACAACCAGACGGGUCAUGUGAUCAGGCUUGAUCUUCAUGCCCAAUCUUUGGGAGGUAAGAUUGGUCCUUCAUUGGCAGAGUUGCAGCACUUGAAGCAUUUGAACCUCAGCUCGAAUGAUUUUGAAGGUAAUUAUAUACAUAUAUACCUUGUGAAAAUUCAUCAGUUUGUCUCAGCAGAAUAUAAUUCUCUCUUUUCCCAAUUUUACAGGAAUUCUUCCCACUCAACUCGGUAAUCUUUCCAACUUGCAAUCCCUUGAUCUUGGCUAUAAUUAUGGGGAUAUGACCUGUGGAAACCUUGACUGGCUUUGUCACCUUCCUUUCUUAACACACCUUGACUUGAGUUGGGUUAAUCUUAGUAAAGCAAUCCAUUGGCCCCAAGCAAUUAAUAAAAUGCCUUCCCUAACUGAGUUAUACUUGAUUGAUACUCAGCUUCCUUCGAUUAUUCCAACAAUAUCCAUUUCCCAUAUUAAUUCUUCUACUUCUCUUGCUGUGCUUCAUCUCCCCUCGAAUGGUCUCACUUCUUCAAUAUACCCAUGGUUGUUCAACUUCAGUAGCAGCCUUGUUCAUCUUGACCUCUCUUGGAAUGAUCUAAAUGGUUCAACUCCGGAUGCUUUUGGAAACAUGACUACUCUGGCAUAUCUUGAUCUCUCUUCGAACGAGCUACGUGGUUCAAUUCCGGAUGCUUUUGGAAACAUGACUACUCUGGCAUAUCUUGAUCUCUCUUGGAACAAGCUACGUGGUUCAAUUCCGGAUGCUUUUGGAAACAUGACUAGUCUGGCAUAUCUUGAUCUCUCUUUGAAUGAACUUGAAGGUGAGAUUCCAAAAUCCUUGACAGAUUUAUGUAAUUUACAGGAAUUAUGGUUGUCUCAGAACAAUCUCACUGGACUGAAGGAAAAAGAUUAUCUGGCCUGCCCUAAUAACACAUUAGAGGUUUUAGAUUUAUCUUAUAAUCAAUUGAAAGGGUCAUUUCCCAAUCUUUCUGGAUUUUCACAGUUGAGAGAAUUAUUUCUUGAUUUCAAUCAACUAAAGGGAACUUUACAUGAAAGUAUUGGACAACUAGCUCAACUUCAACUGUUGUCCAUUCCUUCAAAUUCAUUGCGAGGCACUGUCUCCGCAAACCACCUUUUUGGUCUCUCCAACCUGUCUUACUUAGACUUAUCUUUCAACUCCCUUACAUUCAACAUAAGCCUUGAGCAAGUUCCCCAGUUUCGAGCCUCAAGUAUACUAUUGGCCUCUUGCAAAUUAGGCCCACGUUUUCCUAAUUGGCUUCAAACUCAAGAAGUUUUGAGCGAACUUGAUAUCUCUGCUUCUGGAAUUUCAGAUGUCAUUCCCAAUUGGUUUUGGAAUUUAACUUCAGAUUUAAAUUGGUUAAACAUUUCCAACAAUCACAUCUCGGGCACUUUGCCCAAUUUACAAGCAAGGUCUUAUUUGGGAAUGGAUAUGAGUUCAAAUUGCUUGGAAGGUUCAAUACCACAAUCUGUUUUCAAUGCUAGAUGGUUGGAUCUCUCCAAGAACUUGUUUUCAGGCUCAAUUUCUUUAUCGUGUGGGACUCCUAAUCAGCCUAGUUGGGGUUUGUCUCAUCUUGACCUCUCAAAUAAUCGACUAUCAGGAGAACUACCCAAUUGUUGGGAGCAGUGGAAAGAUUUAAUUGUUCUUGAUUUGGCAAAUAAUAAUUUUUCUGGGAAAAUUAAAAAUUCGAUUGGCUUGUUACAUCAGAUGCAAACAUUGCAUUUAUGUAACAAUAGUUUUACUGGAGCACUGCCUUCGUCCUUAAAGAACUGCAGAGCUUUGCGUCUUAUAGAUUUGGGAAAAAAUAAAUUGUCAGGAAAAAUAACCGCAUGGAUGGGAGGAAGCCUGUCAGAUUUGAUCGUUCUCAACCUAAGAUCUAAUGAAUUUAAUGGAAGCAUACCUUCAAGUCUUUGUCAACUGAAACAGAUUCAAAUGUUGGACCUCUCUAGCAACAAUCUAUCAGGAAAGAUACCAAAAUGUCUCAAAAAUUUAACUGCCAUGGCUCAAAAAGGAAGUCCGGUCCUUUCUUACGAAACAAUUUACAAUUUGAGUAUCCCAUAUCACUAUGUUGAUAGUACAUUGGUUCAAUGGAAAGGAAAAGAACAAGAGUACAAGAAAACUCUUAGAUUCAUUAAGAGCAUUGAUUUUUCAAGAAACCAAUUAAUUGGUGAAAUUCCAAUAGAAGUAACUGAUUUGGUAGAAUUGGUGUCUUUGAAUUUAUCAAGAAACAAUUUGAUUGGAUCAAUCCCUACAACAAUUGGUCAAUUGAAAUUAUUGGAUGUUCUUGAUCUAUCUCAAAACCAACUUAAUGGUAGAAUUCCGGAUACUCUUUCUCAAAUAGCCGAUCUAAGUGUUUUAGACCUAUCAAAUAACACCUUGUCAGGUAAAAUUCCAUUAGGCACUCAAUUACAAAGCUUUGAUGCCUCCACAUAUGAGGGAAAUCCUGGACUUUGUGGACCACCUCUUUUGAUAAGGUGUCCUGAAGAUGAACUUGGGGGAGUCUCCUUCACUAGUGGUCUUAGUAGUAAAAAAGAGGACAUUCAAGAUGAUGCAAAUAAUAUAUGGUUUUAUGGAAAUAUUGUUCUUGGAUUCAUCAUCGGAUUUUGGGGAGUUUGCGGCACUUUACUAUUCAAUAGUUCAUGGAGAUAUGCCUAUUUCCAAUUGUUGAGCAAGAUAAAGGAUUGGUUGUACAUGACAACAAUAGUAAAUAUGAAUAGAAUACGAAGGAGCCUGCAAGGUUAAAUGGUAAGACUUCUCAAAUUCUCUUUUUAGUUUUUCUGGUAAAAUGUGUUAACUUCUAUUUAUUAUCCAACAGUUAAGAAUAAAAAGUACACUUUAUGCUACUACUCAAAUCCCUCUUCUAUUAUUUGAUUGACCUUCCACAAUAUAUUGAUGAAAGCUUAGAUUUUGCAAAUAGAAGCAUCGAUAAAAUAAGCAAGCGUAGAAGAUUUUAAUAUACUUUUUUGUAAUAGUUGUGCAUAUUUAGCUUUCAUCAUGUAAAGAUUAAUCUUAUAGGCCGAGGAUCAUAGUUGAAGAAUGAUUAUUUGUAUUUUUAUUUCUAUCUUACUUCAAGUUACAAUUUUUUCUUUUAAAUGUUAAGUUAAUUUGUUGUCUUCAAAUAUUAUAAGUACAUUAAAAGUUCAAUUGUAAGUAACAUACUAAAACCUUCAUUUCUACUAAUCAAGAAGAGUCGCAACUAAGAAAUUAUUCCAAAUUGAUGAGCGUUGUUGCAUUUCAUCUUUGUAUUACAGGACUUCAGCUGGGUUGCAUCUCAAGGAUUAGUAGGUGAUAUAUGCUUUUGAGUAACGGGAGUAUUUAUGAUGGGAUAGUUACAUGCCUUAAUGCAAAAGCUUGUCAUCGGAUAAAUGACAUCAACAUGUAUUAAGUUUGCUUAUUUGGUAGUUAGCUUGGCUUUAAGUUUCUCGUGUUAUAUUCUAUUUAGAACUUUUUAAACAUUAAUUUUUGCUAUUAUAUGUACGACUUUGUAUUUUGUUGCUCUAAAAUUUAUUUGUUAUUUUUGUAGAAUCAAAUAUUAGAGGCCUUUGUAGGGGGUGCUAAAAAAAUACUUCAUCUUAGAAAAAUAUUUUUUUUUUUGCUCAAAAACAAAGUUUAUUUUUUGGGAAAUGCAAUGUGAUAAUACCCAUUAGUAUGAAAUGUGGGAUAUGCUACUACUGAAAACAGAGCACUCUGUUUUUUUGGUGCUCAAGCAUGAAAGCUCCUGUAACACAGAGAGGUCUGAUUUCCAACCGUGAAUCAAAUUGCUUAAGGUACUCCAUAUGCAGAUUGCUGGAAGUCACUUUGGGCAUCAAUCAUCUUCAAGGGACGAUGAUGAUGGGAAUUGGAUCAACGGCGGUAAAGACCAACUAUGGAAAGUUUGCUAAAAAGCUCCCAUUUCUUUAUUUUGGUUUCUGCUUUUGUAAAUAACAAUGUUAUCCAAAAUUUGUGUUGGUUGCUCAAGUUUUGUAAAAGCUAUUCAACCAAUACAAAUCGCUACAUAAUAUGCAUUUUGCCGAAGAUCUGUGAUGAUUUGGAGCUCUCUCCAAUGCCAUACCAGGUUACAACUGAAACAAGCAUCUUAUUUAGGAAUAGUUAACAACAACGAAGAACUGCAAUUUAUAUUUGUGUUUUUUGUUCCACUGAAUAUUGCAGUAAUCAACUUAUGGAAGAAGUUGGAGCUGUUGGAGAAGAAAGUGCUCUUCAUGUUUGCUCAAACAAUUCAGAGGGAAGUUUAGCUUUUGCUUUGGUAGUUGUGAAGUUGCAAACUGUUAUUAGAAUAAGAAGCCUCUACUUUUGCUUGUUACUGAAUAUGAAUUUUUUUUUUAAGAAGUAAAUUUGCUAAUUAUUGUUCUUUUUCUUAGGCACCCAAGAAAAGAGUAUGUACUUUUAGCAAAGACCAAGAGGAAACUAUUAGAGCUUCAUUUGAGCAGUGAGUGCUUAAUUUGUUCUUUUUUGUGGCAUAUGCAUGUAGUCUUAAAUUUGAUUUCCCUCUGCAUAAUUGAUGCUGAAUAUUGUGAUUUUGGAAAGAUUAAUGCUAGUCUCCUUUUCGUCUUUUAAAUUAAAUUAGAUUUGUUUACGUAUAGGUUUAAAGACCAUAAAAGGUGCACCUACAUGAUUGUAAGUGCUCUAGAUGGUGAUGGUACGUUCACAGCUGCCCAAGUUUCCCAUAAGCUCAAGCAACAAUUUGCUUGUGUUCCUCAUCAAAAAAAGAGUUGAAGACAACUUGCAUUUGAGAGAUGAAGAUCUUAAUGGUUGUGAUAUAGCCAAAGCACAGGAUUCCAAUGAUGAAACAUUGUUUUCACUAAGAAAAAGGUAACUAUAUCUUUAUGAAUUUCAUGCAAUUUUGUGAAUUAAUCUUAUUUGUGUGAUAUCCCACAUCGAAUGAGGGGAAAACUAUUAUAUAUACAUAUAUAGGUUCUCUUAGACACGUUUUAAAACUCAUGAGGGCCCCUUAAGCCCAUAAUAGAUAAUAACUACAUAGUUAGCAGUGGAUCGUUAUAGCUUGUAUGCAAACUUUAUCACAUACUUGCAUCUUUGUGGUUGCAGACUUGUAGUGUAUUUGCAUUUGCUUGCAUUUGUCAAGUACUAUACUUUGGUGAUGAAAUCAUAAAUUCAUGACACUCAAGACUUAAUCCAAUUGACAUGUUUUUUUUUUUACUAAAUACAAUAACUAAUUCUUAAGUUAUAAAUUAUAUCACCAAAUUAUUUUUUUACAAUAUAUAGUUUAUUUCAAAUUUUAUUUUAUUUUUCUUCACCUCUUAGGUUUAUCACUUUACAUUACAAAAUAAAAUAAAUUGCAAUUUCCCUUUUCACAAGAUUUUUAUUUUUACAAAAUAUUCAAUAUUUUCCAACUUUUAUAAAAUAAUUUCCGAAAUUAUAUAAUCGGCUGUUAUAAAGAUUUUAAAUUUUUGUGUUGUCAUGGGAUUAUUUUGUUGGCAUGCUUGACCCAGUUGGUAACUUAGGUUUUUUUUUUUUUUUUAAUUCGCCUGACCUUCACAUGUGGCCUAUUACCAUUGGUGGAAAAUUGUGGGUAAGGUGAGAUUUCGGUACCCAAGCUUGACCAUAUAUAUCUGUGAAUUACGCAGAAGACUCGAAAAGUCAAAGGAAAAAUCCUGGGAACCAAGCUGGAAAACACAGGACUGUUAUUUCAGGGAAGGUGUACGUUUGGGGGCAUAUUACAGCUUGGGUACUGAACAAGAGGCAUGUAAGAAGUCUGGCCAUGGAUGCAGAAGAAGAAAAGCAAAGUAAAACCCACAUCCAUGGACAGUUGGUAGAGAUAAACCACAAUCAGGAGAAACGAAUACGCCACGAAGAAACAAAGGCACAGAAUCUGACAACUGGGUUUGCGGUCGUCCAAGUUUUAAUUCUCAACACACUGGUGAUCAACAAGCCAUCCGGCAGAUGCGAACACUGGUGGGUGCCAUUCUCUCUCUCCUUAUCAGUCGGUGUGAUUUAUUUCGUCACCAUUUUUGAGGUAGUGAAGAAAUGCUACCUUCUGCUCUACCAUUUGGACGUCAACUACAUGGAGCAAGAAGCCAUUCUUCUGGAAAUGCAUGGGGGUGCUUCGUCCCGGCGACAUGAUCAGCCAUUGAAGCCAGAUGUGGUGAAGCUCCUGAGGCGUAAAGCUUAUAUCACGAUACUGAUUUCUGCCAUGCUCGCCUUUCAAGCUCUGAUGCUCCACGCCUGCAGCUCCUUUCUUUGCAACUGAGAUUAACCAUUAGCUAUGUUCACAUGUGAUUAAUGCUCUUGCCGUUUUAAAUACAUAAGAAUAAUGUUGUUUCAAAAAUCGUUUGCUUAUAUUUAAAUACUAUUUUCUCUUUUCCAACUGUCCUUACAAAUAGUCUUAUGCUUAGUAGUAGAAAAAAAAAAAAUAUUAAGAUGAAAAUUAUGUAAUUCAAAUUGAAUGCAUCAAUGGAACCGAAAUUAUUCAUCGUGAAAUUUAUUUACAUCGUUUUUCUUUCCAAAGUAUUUUCUAGUUGGAAAGAAAAUUCCAACAUUGCAAUUUUCGUUAGAAAAACGGGACAAAUUAUAAAAGAAAAGAAAAAUCAAUCUCAAAUACCAAUAUUAAAAUGAUUUAUCUAUUUAUCAACACAAUUUGAGUGGAAGAAAUAAAGACACGUGGAAAUCUAUAUAUCAGGAAUCAAAUAGGGUCAAGAAUGGGUUCCAACAAGAACCAUCAAUGGGCUGCCCAAUCAAUAACAAAAGGCCCUCGAUGGGUCUCAUGGGCCAAACAAAAUGGAGCCAGCACACAAUAAGUUUAAACCCAAAUAAAAAUUUCAAGUACAUAUUUUCAAUCCCAUUUAUAAUUUAUUCAUUUAAAUUAGAAAUCUAUAUAUCAAGAAUCAAAUUAGAGAGACCAAAAUUAACAUAUCAGAGUAGAAAUCUUUACAAUCAAAUUUCUUUUUUAUAAAUUUAAAAAUAUUUUCUAUAACUAAUUUAGAUUAGCAAAAAAGAAAAAAAAAAUCUUCAUCGGACCACACAUGUGAUACACUUUGGUAGUUGUUUUUAAAUUUCAAUAAACAUUCUUACAUCAAAAGUAUAAAAAAAACUAAAAAAAAAAAGGAAAUGUUUAGGAAAGUUUGAUUUUAUUGUAGAAAUUAAACAAAAAAAAGUUAAAUAUAAUUAAAAUUAGUAAAAAAAACUUAAAUAUUUUUAGAUUAUUUUAAGUUUGAUGUAAAGUAUAAAAAUAAUUUUUUAAUUUUAAAUCAAUUUUUUUUCUUUGCUUCUAUUUUUUUCUUUAUUUUUUUUUCUUUUCCUCACAUUUUUUCUUUCACUCCUGAGGAACCAAACAUAACCUAAAAGUUUUAAAUAUAUAAAAAAAAACUUCAUAUUAUAUAUAUAAGGGUUGUUAUUAUAUUGAUUUAUAUAAGUACAAUAUGAUUUUUUUUUUUUUUAUAACCGUGGAUGUUCGGGCCAGCUUACGCGCACCUCGACUAAUCCCACGGGGCCCUGAAGUUAACGACCGGGUAAACCUCCAGUGGCCCUGAGGGGACUCGAACUGGUGACCAUAAGGGAGCAAACCCAAGGCCGGACCAACUGAGUUACCCCUCAGGGUUAUAAGUACAAUAUGAUUAUUCAAAUCAUAUUACAUGUAUAGAAUACGAGAAAUCAAGUUGUGUCAUACUCAAAAUUUCAACAUGAUAGAUAUAGCUUUUGAAGACUUUUCCUUUGCGAUUAAUUCUUAUACUUGGAAUUUGUUUAGGUAGGGUAGGGUUUUUGGAAGUUUGUUCGCAAUUUUCUCAUACUUGGAAACAAUUUCCAAAGGAAUGGUCAGAGAAAGGAACUAAACAAAUAGAAGAUUGAAACGGACUAGAUAGACCCUCACCUGCACCGAAGGUUUGUAUGAUCUUCGUGGACCGCAGGCCGCAUGGCCUUCUCAAGCCUCCAUGCCUUGCUUUUCCGCUUAUAAAGAACAGCCAAAAAGGACUUGACUGAUCUGAAAAAUCAGUGGCCGGAAAAGCGAGCUCGACACGGAGAAACAAUUGCCCAUGCAGUUUGGGAGAUCACAGAGCGAACUGUUGGAGUCUGGGCUUUUGUUUCUUCGUGUCGAUCUCGCUUCCCUUUAUGGCAGAGCUUUUCUCACCCUUCAGACACUCUCCUCCCAAACCAACCUCUCACAGCUUCAAUGCAGCUCACAUCCUCCUCACCGGCGCAUGGUGGUUACUACACUAUCCAGAUGCUGCAGCAGCCCACUUCCCUCAGCCUUGGACUCAUCUACAACUUGCCCGACUCUUACAUCACCUCGUUGCAGUCUUACACCAACUACUCCUACUGGUCUGGACCCGAUAUAUCAAACGUAACAGGCGAUGUAGUCGCGGUUUUAGACAGGGCGGGGAGCUUUGGGAUCAUGUAUGGGUCAUCAUCUGAUGGGGCGGUUUAUGUUUACAAAAGUGAUACUGAUGAGAAAGGGCUGUCUUCGUCGUGUGAAUCAGAUAGUUAGGCCAUUAGUUCUUCGAAGACUGAUACUCGAGAUGAAUGGGAAUUUGAGGCUGUAUCGUUGGGACGAUGAUGUGAACUGCACUCGCCAAUGGGUGCCUGAAUGGGCUGCAGUUUCUAACCCAUGUGAUAUUGCUGGGGUUUGCGGAAAUGGGGUGUGUAGCUUGGACAGAAGCAAGACUAAUGCCUCCUGUACAUGCCUGCCGGGGGCUUCUAAGGUGGGAGACAGCGGCCAGUGCUCAGAGAAUUCGUCGGUGUCAGCUGGGAAAUGUGAUAAUAAUCAUCGGAAUUCAACUGCUUCCAAGCUGAAGAUGUCUAUAGUACAGCAAACUAACUACUAUUACCCUGAAUCUUCGAUUAUAGCAAAUUAUAGUAACAUGUCCCAAUUGUCAAAGUGUGGGGAUGCUUGUUUAUCAGACUGUGAUUGUGUUGCUUCCGUGUAUGGGCCGAGUGAGGAAAAGCCUUACUGUUGGCUGCUGAACAGCUUGGAGUUCGGUGGAUUCGAGGACACGAGUUCGACGUUGUUUGUGAAGGUUGGGCCUAAUGGGUCACCUGAAGACAAAGCAACAGGAUCUGGGGAUUCAUCUGAUGGCCUCCGGGACAAGGUCUUGGUUCUUCCAAUUGUUCUCAGCAUGACUGUCCUUGUAGCACUCCUCUGCCUGUUGUUAUAUCACACUCUGUACAGAAGGAGGGCCUUGAAGAGAUCCCUGGAAAGCUCCUUGAGUGUGUCCGGUGCGCCAAUGAAUUUCAGUUACCGCAAUUUGCAGUCCAGAACCGGCAAUUUUUCGCAGUUGCUCGGCACAGGUCAGCAUGUACAUAUACAUAUACUUUGAAAGGGAUGAAAUUGUUUGAACAAAGCCAGUUGGACUUGAUCAAUUUGGAUUAAUGUUGUCUUCUCUUUUUUUCAGGAGGGUUUGGGAGUGUAUACAAGGGAAGCCUUUCAGAUGAGGCAUUGGUUGCAGUGAAGAAGCUUGACAAGGUUUUGUCUCAUGGGGAGAAGGAAUUCAUAACUGAAGUGAACACCAUUGGCUCUAUGCAUCACAUGAACCUGGUUCGCCUAUGUGGCUACUGCUCGGAAGGCUCUCACCGGUAUGCAUUUCAUUUCAUCGCCUAAAACCAAUUACCACUAACCAUAAUUAAAUUCUUGUCAUCCUCUUUUGUGGUCAAGCAUACUAUAUUUUCGAGCUUAUAAUGGGGUUGGAAUUUGAUGAUUCUUCACAGGCUUCUGGUUUAUGAGUUCAUGAAAAAUGGUUCCUUGGACAAGUGGAUAUUCCCCUCAAAGCAUUGCCGGGACAGACUGCUAGAUUGGGGAACUCGUUUCCAUAUAGCCAUUGCUACUGCACAAGGGAUUGCUUAUUUUCAUGAGCAGUGCAGGAAUCGGAUAAUCCACUGCGAUAUCAAGCCUGAAAACAUACUUCUAGAUGAGAAUUUCUGUCCAAAAGUUUCAGACUUUGGACUAGCAAAGCUGAUGGGCAGAGAGCAUUCACAUGUUGUCACUAUGGUGAGAGGAACUAGGGGCUAUCUGGCUCCAGAAUGGGUUAGCAACCGGCCUAUUACUGUAAAAGCCGAUGUCUACAGUUACGGAAUGCUUCUCCUGGAGAUUGUUGGUGGCCGGAGAAACCUUGACAUGACCUUUGAUGCAGAAGACUUCUUCUAUCCUGGGUGGGCUUUUAAGGUAUAGAUCAAUCAAGUUCUUGCUUCUGUAAAUCACAAAUUGUUAAGUGUUUGAUAUUUUAUUAACGAAAAUGCCAAUUCCUCUAGGAAAUGAGUAAUGGGACGACAAGAAAAGUUGCAGACAGGCGACUGGAAGGGGCAGUGGAGGAAGAGGAGCUAGAAAGAGCAUUGAAAACUGGCUUUUGGUGCAUUCAAGAUGAGGUUUUCAUGAGGCCUUCAAUGGGGGAAGUGGUGAAGAUGUUGGAAGGAUCACUUGAAAUCAACACACCGCCAAUGCCACAGACAGUUCUGGAGCUCAUGGAGGAGGGCUUAGACAAUGUAUACAGAGCCAUGAAGAGAGAGUUCAACCAGUCCAGCUUCUUCACCAUCAAUAAUAGUACCCAUCCUUCAUCAAGGGCUACAUGUAGUUAUUCCACAAUGUCACCUAGAUAGCAAAGGAGAAAUGGAACAAAUUUUGUUGUUGUCCCGGAAUUUUAUCACCUUGAUAGAUACUGUCCAGAAACAUAAUUCUUAUUGAUCAAUUGUUACCAUACAUACUAAUGGGCAAUGAAAUUAGUAGAGAACUUUGCAUAGGUUGAGGUACGAAAAUCUCGGUCUUUUAAAGGAGAUUUAAGCCAUUUCUGGUUUGACAAUUUGAGAAAUUGGUGUAUUUGACUUCUCUUUGAUUUGUCCCCACAAGGAUACGAUAGUCGGCCAAGUGAUUUGUUGCAUAGCUCACAUCAAUAUGCAUAAAGCAUAGAACUUAAGGCUUCACAAAGAAAAAAAAAAAAAAGAAGAAGAAAGGAAGAAGAUAACUAAAAAAAGUCUAAAAAACAUGACAUUAGGAGGAUGAGUCAAAAGACUCAUCAUAAAGUUUAAAAUCUUCAACAAUUUUGAAAGAAUUCAAUCUAGCUCUUUAAUUUUUAUAAGCUAAAUCCCAUUGACAUAAAUGAUAUUUAAUACUUCUCAAUUCCCAUAAUUGUAACUACAAAUUCAAUAAUCCAUUAUGCCAACUUUAAUCCCCUUAACUUUCAUAUAUAACCAUAAUGUUGGUAGCUAGUUUACAUUGAUAACUUUGUUCCAAACUUGUUGGAUCUAACUCUAAUAUUUAAUUACUUCAUGUGACUUACAUUGGACUUGAAAACUUGAAAUUUUUAUCAAUUCCUCCUUAAGGUCAUUCUGGUAACUAUGAUUAAGUUUGUUCGGGUGAAUAAUGACAUCAAAAGGUAUAUGCUGGUUUUUAUUAGAUGAUGUGAAAAUAAUAGGGAAAAAAAGAAAAAAAGAAUCGGAUUUUGAUGAGCAAUCAAGUGAUCCUUAUGAGUGCUUAAGUGCCCAUAACGACUUUACAUAAUUUUUUACUAAUUUUCUUAUUCCAUUUUUUCAUGAUAUUUUUCCGCUACGAUUUUUAAGAUUAUGAUUACACCUUAUGUUAUUGAUUUGAUAUAUGUUUUUUAGAGCUAUAUGCUAUUAUUCUCUAAGAGCCCCAUCGUGGAUUAAGUUUAGUUUGUGGUGAUUUCUUUCAUUAAGGAAUACUCUCUCUCUCUCUCUAAUUGGGAAAUAUCAUCGAUAUGUUGGUGGACAUUGAAGUGAAAUAUAGGAUAGUUUGUGGUGAUUUCUUUCAUUAAGGAAUACUCUCUCUCUCUCUAAUUGGGAAACAUCAUUGAUAUGUUGGUGGACAUUGAAGUGACAUAAGGGGAGAUGGAUAGAUAUUGAAGUGACAUAUAGGGGAGAUAUAUCCAUCUACUGAAGUUUCGGUUAUUUUUUAAAAAUUUGAUAUUUUUGCCAUUCACAUAUUUAAGAGAAUAAAAUAUAAAAGAGUUAAAUAUCUUAUUCCUCGUAAAAUUGAAAUUUCAACUUUUGAAAUGUCAAAUUACAAAAUUAUAAAACACAUUAAAUUUUGAUAUGCCUUAGAAAAAAAACAUAUUUAAUUCAUUUUUUUUUAAUUUUCUUUGUUAUCUUAUUAAUUAAGUUAGCAAAUUACAUUAAAAAUCAAAUAACAAUGGAUCAAUUAAAAGAUAUAACACUAUGUUCGGUUGUCUAAGAUUUGAAAGUAAUGACAACAAAAAGAAAACAAAGAAAAAAAUAAAAAUAAAAAUAAAAAAAAUAAAAAAAUAUUUAAAAUUAAUAAAUUAUUUUUACAUCUUAAUAAAUUAUUUUUACAUAAUUCUUUAUUCAUUCCACUUAUUUAUACUCUUUUAUAUAAAAAUUAAAUAAUUUUAAAAAUAUAUAAAAUUUUAAUUAAUUUUAAUUAUAUUUGAUUUUUCUUUACACUUUUUUAGAGUUAAUUUUGUUCACCUUCUAGAGCUUUGGGUUAAAUAUAUUUAGUCACCUUGAGUUUAAAAUUUUAUCAAAUAUCUUUCUUCCUUUUUUUUUGAGUUAGAGGUAGGGGCAUAACUUGAGCGGAUAGGCCCUACUCAACCUGAUGUUUGAAUAGCUUGAACAAUUAUUUUCAAUACUUGAGUUGUGAUAGAUUAAAUAUUUUCAAUUCGAGCUCAAUUUGGACGACUAAAGAUUCAAACAACUCAAACCUAAUCCAAAUUGGAUUUAAUAUUUUUAUAAUAUUUAUAAUAUAAAAUAUCAAAUAUUAUUAUUACAUAUCAUAUCUUGAAAUUUUGUUCUAUUAAUUAUUUAAAUUUUGACAUAAAUAUAUGAGUUUAUUAUACUUUACCCCUAUAACCUAUAACUUGUUUUACACAUUGUUCCAUCAAGUUCAAAAUUGAGUAAUGUACCUUCCAUAUUUAAUAACUGUACGUAAUGUGCAUUUUUUUUAAAGACAACUUUAUUUUUUGGACGGAAAGGUACGUGCUCUCCGCGUGAUUGAGGGUAAAAGUGUCUUUUUUCCUUUGCAACUCCCUCUCUCGAUCAUUACUCCCCUUUGGAACCCCAAAUUGUAGCCCGCUUCUUCCUGACCCGUUCUUCUUUCCUUCCUUCAAAGCCUUAGAAUGUGAAUCCCAAAAAGUUGCUACUGAAGCCCUAGAAAAUUUCUCAUGUUUGUAGGGUGGAAAUGUUUCUCCAAAUUUCCCUAAAAAAUUGCCCAAAAAUUUCCCCAGUUUUUUGAAACACAAAAACAAAACCCCAACCCUAAACUAGAAGCAUAACAAAAAAAAUUUAAACCCUAACAUAAAAACCCUAGCCCUCAAUUGGCCCUAGUUUUAUUCAACCAUAAAUCCCCCAAAUUUCCCCUGAAAAUUGCCUUUAAAUUUCUACAAAAUUUCCCCCAAAAUUCUCCUAGUUUUCUUAAACAUGAAAAUGAAACCCUAACCUUGAACUAAAAUCAUAACAUAAAAAUUUAAACCCUAACAUGAAAACCCUAACCCUCAAUUUGCCUGAGUUUUAUUCUUCCAUAAUUUCCACAAAAUUUCCCCAAAUUUUCUGAAAGAUCCAAACGAAACCCUAACCCUAAAGAAAUUGGAAGACAAAAAAUACCUUUGAACUUUCAUGUCUCUCUUCAAUGUCAGCCCUGCAUUAGCUUCUUUGGGAUUCUAGGGCUUCAGCUUUGAGUUUCACUAAUAGCUACAGAGGAGGAACAGUACAUGCUGGAGAAGAUGAGGGUUUUAAAAUAACAAUGACCCUUUUGCCCUUGCUUUAUGGGAACGAAGACAAUUUUGCCCUCAGUCACGUGGAGAGUACAUGUCUUUCUGUCCAAAAAAAAUAAUGUCGUAUUUAAAAAAAUACACAUUUUAUGCAAUUAUAAAGAAUUAAGGGUACAUUAUUCGAUUUUGUACUUAAGGGGGCAAUGUGUAAAAUAUGCUUUAAAUUGAGGGGUAAAGUGUAAUUAACUUUAAAUAUAUAGAAAAAAUAUUUUUUUGAAAAACAUUAUUUGGGUAAAUUUUGAAUUAUGCAAUCGAUUAUUUUCUCUUGAAUAACCUCAUGAAUCCGAACUCAAUCUAAUUUUUUUUUAUCCUACUUUAGAUAUAUAUAACUCAUUUGUCUUGUCUCGGUCACUUCGUCCCAAUCACAUUCAUAAAUUUUCUCGGGAAACUUGUGUUUGAGGCUGGUAAUAUUAAAAUAGUAUGAGAUUGGAAACCCAACUUUUGAUUUUUUAAUAUAAUUAUUCUAAUCCUAAAAAUAAUAUAGGGUUCAUGCACUUUUAGCUGAACUAUUUUUUAAUAUCCAAUAUGCCCUCUUCUUUCUGCCAGGUCAACCUCCACAUGUGAAAAAAAAAAGAGGUCUUCUUCCAUCUCCAGCAUCACCUGUGAAAAAAAAAGGGUCUUAUUCCAUCUCCAGUAUCACCUCCACUAGAUGACCAUAACUCCUCCCAAACUUCUUCACCUCCAUUUGCAGACUGUCCACUAUCGGGUCAACUUGUUUCAUCUCAAUCAUCGCCGCGGCUCAUCACCAGCGACGACCGAGGGAACCUCGACUCUAUGUACCGCAUCAACAUCUCCCCCGAUCCCGAAACUGUGUCAGAGCCACACUGCAGAACCAACAUAUCGGGUUUGAGAAUCGGCGUCUCGGCCGACACCAUACAGAUGGAUACGCAUUUGUGGUGUAGGGCGAACCGGAUGUAGGAGGUGAGAGGAACCGCUGGAGAUAAACGACACCAAAAUUCCUUUCCCAUCUUCCACUCCCUGGUUGUAGGUCUCAUCAUAGGAAACAAACGGCUGAGACUUAGUAAAUUGGGAGAGGAAGCAUGCUAGUUGUAGGUGUGAGAAGUUGCGGGAGAGUCAUGGACGAAGGUGGGGGGAGAGAGAGAGAGAGAGACUUGAAGAGGUUAGGUUUUCUUUUUGGGAUUUGGGUUUCAAAAGGGAGCAGAGCAGAUGGAAAAUUUUAGGCAAAACGUUUUAUGUUUUCUCGGUUUUUUGAUUUUUUGGUUUUUUUUUUAAAAAAAAAAUAAGUGGAGGUUGACGUGGUAGAGAAGAGAGGCAUAUUAGGUAUUAAAAAUCAGCUCAGCCCAAAGGGCAUGGAACCCAAAAUAUUUUGGGUUCAAUAUUGAAAAAUUAAAAAUGGUAAAAAUGAGUUUUGGUUUUCAUAAUAUUUAGAUAUCACCAUCCCAAAACCUAACUUUUCCAAUUUUCUCUUUCGUGCUUGCCGUGAAAGUCACUUGCUCCGCAAUUUACGCAAAGACUCUAUUACCAUUGACUUUAUUACAAUUUCUACAAGAAAAAUCGAACUUCAAGACUAAGCAAAUAUCCUAGGAAUCAAGCUGGAAGCUACAAUGCUGUUUCAGGGAAGCAUAUGAUAUACAAAUACAACCCUUAUAUGUUACAGCUUCGGUACUGACCAGGAGACUGUAAGUACUGGCCAUGGAUGCAGAAGAAGAAAGGCUAAGUAAAACCCAUAUCCAUGGCCAAUUGGUAGAGAUAAACCACAAUCAGGAGAAACGAAUACGCCACGAAGAAACAAAGGCGCAGAAUCUGACAACUGGGUUUGCGGUCGUCCAAGCUUUAAUUCUCAACACAGGGGUGAUCAAUAAGCCAUCUAACAGAUGCGAACACUGGUGGGUGCCAUUCUCUCUCUCCUUAUCAGUCGGUGUGAUUUAUUUCAUCACCAUUUUUGAGGUGUUGAGGAAAUGGUACCUUCUGCUCUACCAUUUGGACGUCAACUACCUGGAGCAAGAACUUAUUCUACUGGAAAUGCAUGGGGGUGCUCCGUCCUGGCGAAAUGAUCAGCCAUUGAAGCCAGAUGUGGUGAAGCUCCUGAGGCGUAAAGCUUAUAUCACGAUACUGAUUUCUGCUAUGCUCGCCUUUCAAGCUCUGAUGCUCCACGCCUGCAGAUCCUUUCUUUGCAGCUGAAAGUAACCAUCUUCCCCUUUAAAUAAAUACUAGAAUAAAAAAAAAUUGUUGUUUAUUAUGCCAAAUUUCUCGAUGCCUUUGAAGAGUGUCAUGGGAAAUGCUAUUAAGAUGCAAACUACAUAAUUCAAAAUGCAUUAUAUGGAACGAAAUUAUUUACCAUGAAAUUUAUUUAUAUUGUUUUUCUUUCUAAAGUAUUCAAAAUGCAUGAUAUGCAAUAGAAAAUUUUGAGGGAAAAUAUCACAGAAAGAAAAUAGAGAGAAAAAAUAGAAUAAAAAAAUAUGAAAAAAAAAUAAAAAAAUAUAUUUAAAGUCAAUAAAUUAUUUUUAUAUCUUAUUUUAAACUUAUUUUACUUAUUUUAACUCAUCAAUAUAAAGGUUAAAUAAUUUUAAAAUAUAUAAAAUUUUAAUUAAUUUAAAUUAUAUUUGAUUUUAUUUGACAUUUUUCAUGAUACAAUCAUGAGAAACUCGUUUUCUUAAACAUUUUUCUUUUCUUUUUUCAGUAGUUUUUGGCAACCAAACAUUACCUAAAAUUUUGUUAGUGCAUCUCCUUAGGUGUUUGUGCUCACAUAUUGGGCCCAAGAAUGGGUUCCUGCAACUACCAUCAAUGGGCCGGGCUGCCCAAUCAAUAACAAAAGGGCACUCACCUGGGUCUCAUGGGCCGAGAAAAAUGGAGCCCAUACACAACAGUUUUGAACCCAAACAUAAAUUUCAAGUUCAUAUAUACUUUUAAUCUCGUUUAUUCAUUCAUAUUAGAAAUCUAGAUUUAUAUUAAUUCAUUCAUGUAGAUCUAUAUAUUAGGAAUCAAAUUAGAGUGCAUAGAAACCAAAAUUAAGAGAGAGGAUUAUACCCAGGGAAGUUUUGUGUGAUACGUUGAACUGAAAGUGAUAAAAACUAAGACUAUGUUUAAUUCCCAAAAAGCAAUAAGGAAAGAAAAAAAAAUAUGAAGGAAAAUUAUUUUCUUGUAUUUUAUUUUUUUAUGAAAAACUUGAAAGGAAAUAAAAUAUAAUUAAAAAUUUAUUAUAUAUUUUUAAAUUAUUAAUUUCCAUAUAAAAGGGGAACAAAAUGUCAAUGAAUUUGAAAUAACAAAUAAAAAUGAUUUAUAAGUUUUAAAUCCAUUUUUUUUAUUUUCCUUAAUAUUUUCCUUCUUCUACUUUUUCUUUCUAUUUUCUUUUUCUCACAUUUUCUCUUAGAUUUUCUAAGAACCAAACAUAAUAUAAAAAAACAAAUAAUAUAUAAAAAAACCCAAAUAAUUUGACAUGUGGUAUAUUGUUGCUAGUCAAAGUAAUGGUUGUGGGUGACUUUUAGAAGCCUCCAAUAAGAAAUGGCCAAAAAACCUAUGAGCUUGGCAUUUAUUUGAGUAUCUCGGGGACAAUAUUUUAUUUUUAAUUAUGUGUUUUAAUUCAUUGUUUUUUUUUCUUUAAUAUUAUUUUAGAAAUAUGUUUAGAGAUAUGUUAAUUUUAGUGCUUAUAGUAAUAUAAAGAUUUUGAUAAUUAAAAAUUUGUUUAAAAAUGAUUUUAGGAAGCAUUUAACCUAUUUAAUCUUUAAAUUUUUUAUAAAAGAAUUGUUUUCAAGUGCUAAAAAGAUUAGAGACAUUUUAUAAAAUUACUAUUAAAUAAAUUCUAAAUAUAAUCGAGUCGUGUGACUAUAAAUUGCUAGACUUUUCCAUGUGAUUAAUCCUUGGAUACUUGGAAUUUGUUUAUGUGGGGUAGAGCUUUUGUGAGUUUGUUUGCAAUUUUCUCAUACUAGAAACAAAUGAAUGGUCAGAGAAAGGAACAUAGAAAAGAGAAGAUUGAAACACCUUCACCUGCUCCGAAGGUUCGUAUGAUCUUCAUGCCAGCCUCCAUGCCUCAUUUUCCCGCUUAUAAAAAAAAGGCCACAAAAGACUAGACUGAUCUGAUAAAGCAGGGCCGGAAAAGCGAGCUCGACACGAAGAAACGAAAGCCGGCCAAUGCAGUCCGAGAGAUCACACAGCGAACUGUUCGAGUCUGGGCUUUUGUUUCUUCGUGUCGGUCUUGCUUCUGUCUCCGGCCGGAGGAACAAAAUUGUACAGACAUGGAUGGGAAGAACUCCUGUAAUAUCAAGAGUCCUUCUAUCUUUGGAUUGUUAUAAUAAUAUUAUCUUCAAAACAAAAUUUAUGCAAGUGGGGGUAUAUUUUUUAUUUUUUGUUUUUGAAAAUAGGAAGUUUUAUACAAAAUAUAAAAAAAUCUUAUAUGAAAGAUAGGUAUAAUCUUGUUAUGUUAUUUGAAAACAUUUUUUAAAAUUGACAGAAGUAAAAAAAUUUCAAUUCCAUAAAUUUUUAAAUUUUGAAAAAGUCUUUAAGAAGGGUAGGUAAGAGGAUGCUUGUUAAUGGUUAGAAAAUAGUUUUAUAUGUUUUAGAACAAAAGAAUAAUAAAAAAAAACAUGCUUAGUGAUUAGAAAACAGUUUAUACUCUUAAAAAACAAAAAAUCGGAGUGUUUUUAGAUAAUAUCUUUUAAUUUUUAAAAUUAUUUUUAUUUAUUGAAAAAUAAUCAUACAAAAUGCAGAAUGAUUAUGAGUAAAGUAUUACAUGUGAAACUUAUUUUUAAAAAAUAUUUAAAAACAUAAAAAAAAAAGUUAAUAACAGUUCAAGUUUCCAAACAAACUAUUAUUUUACAAAAUAUUAAAUAACAAUUUUAAAAAAUAGUUUUAAAAAAUACUUUUCGAACACAAUUUAAAUUUUUUUCUUUUUGCAUAAAAAUUCUUAUAUUUUGUAUAAGAGUUUUUAUUUUUAAAAAUAAAAAAAUAAGAAAUAUAUUCAAAGAUAUUUAAUAAACAAUAAAAUUCAAAAGAGAAAGCCUUAAAUUUUAUGUUAUUAUUGUAAAAUGAGAAUAAAUGUGACUCAAAUAAUAGUAGGGAUGACUAUGUAUUAUUUUAAUAAUAUAUAUAUAGAGGGGCGGGGGGAAGAAAUCAAAGAAAAGUGUUGAGAGAAUGAAAGAAAGAGAGAGAGAAUGAGAGGAAGAAAAUUUCUUCUUUUUCUCGGAAUGCUCUUACAUGGGGUGUAAGAACCCUUUUAUAGGAUUCAUAAGAUGAACUCCCAUUACUCAUCUUAAAGAUGAGUAAAUGGAGUUCAUAAAUGACCAUCAAUGUGGUCAUUCAUCACUUCAUUUACAACAUUUCCCCUUGGAUGACCACCAUAUUAAAAGAAUAUGUUUCAUUAAAACCUUGUUAGUAAAAAUUUUUAUAGGAAAAACCUAGUGAAGGAAAAAGAGUACAAUAUUCUUUUCUUGGUAUAUUAGGACUACCUCGUUAAAAACCUUGCCAGUAAAACCCAGUAGGACAAAACCUGGACGAAGGAAAAAAGAGUACAGUACACUAACACCCUUUUACAAGCAUACUCCCCCUCAUGUCAAUAUCCUUGAGUUGACGCAUUCCAAUCAUGUAUAUUAAUUUCUUGAAUGUUGAGGUUGACAAUGAUUUUGUGAAUAAAUCUGUUAGAUUAUCACUUGAGCGUAUUUGUUGCACAUCAUUUUCACCACUCUUCUAGAGUUCAUGUGUAUAAAAGAAUUUUGGUGAAAUGUGUUUAGUUCUAUCUCUUUUAAUAUAACCCCCUGUUAUUUGUGUAAUGCAUGUAGCAUUAUCUUCAAAUAAUAUUGUCGGGUCACCUUUGAUAGAGGAGAGUCCACAUGAUUCCCGAAUAUGUUGGAUCAUAGAUCUUAGCCUUAUACAUUCAUGACUUGCUUCAUGAAUUGCUAGUAUUUCUGAAUGAUUUGAUGAUGUGGCCACCAUUGUUUGUUUGACAUAUCUCCAUGAAAUAGCAGUACCAUUGCAAUUAAACACAUACCCUGUUUGUGACCUACCUUUAUGUGGAUCUGAAAGAUAUCCUGCAUCUGCAUAUCCAAGCAAUUGUUGCUUUGAUUCCGUUGAGUAAAAUAAACCCAUAUCAGUAGUUCCGCAAAGAUAACAUAAUAUAUGUUUGAUACCAUUCCAAUGUCUUCGAGUUGGAGUGGAAUUGUAUCUUGCUAAUAAAUUGACAGAAAAAGCAAUGUCUGGAUGUGUACAAUUGGCAAGAUACAUAAGUGCACCAAUAGCACUAAGAUAUGGUAUUUCAGGACCAAGUAACUCUUUUUUUUUUUUUCGCAAGGACGAAAUGAGUCAUUUUUCACAUCAAGUGAUUGGACAACCAUUGAAGAACUUAAAGGAUGCGCUUUAUCCAUAUAAAAACGCUUCAAAACUUUGUUAACGUAUGUUGAUUGAUGUACUAAAACUCCAUUUGGAAAAUGCUCGAUCUGCAGGCCGAGAUAAAAUUUUGUUUUUCCAAGAUCUUUCAUCUCAAAUUCCUUUUUCAAGUAAUUUGUUGUUCUUGUGAGCUCUUAAGAAGUUCCAACAAGAUUUAAGUCAUCGACAUACACUGUAAUAAUUGCAAAUCCGGUUUCUGAUUUCUUAAUGAAGAUGCAUGGGCAUGUAGGGUUAUUCACGUAUCCUUCUUUUAGCAAAUAUUCGCUAAGACGAUUGUACCAUAUGCGUCCAGAUUGCUUUAAUCCAUACAAUGAUCGUUGUAACUUGAUUGAGUACAUGCUACGAGACUUUAUACUAUUUUCUCCAGGCAAUUUAAAUCCUUUAGGGAUUUUCAUGUAUAUAUCAUUAUUCAUGGAUUCGUAUAAAUAUGUUGUAAUAACAUCCAUGAGAUGCAUAUCCAAUCCUUCUGAGACUACCAAAUUGAUUAAGAAACAAAAUGUGAUUGCAUCCAUGACGAGAUAAUAUGUUUCUUCGUAGUCAAUACCAGGUCUUUGCGAGAAACCUUGUGCUACUAAUCGCGCUUUAUAUCUUAUGAUCUCAUUAUUCUCAUUGCGCUUUCGUACAAAUACCCAUUUGUACCCAACAGGCUUUACAUCUUCAGGUGUUUAGACUACAGGUCCAAAAACUUCUUGUUUUGUUAAUGAGUUUAACUCUGCUUGUAUAGCUUCAUUCAGUUUUAGCCAAUCAUUUCUAUGUCAACAUUCUUCCACAUUUCGUAGUUCGGGAUUUUCAUCAUUUCUUUUGACUUUAGAGGCCACUUGGAAAGCAAAAAUAUUGUUAAUAACAAUAUUAUUUAAAUCCAUUUUUUCUCCCGUGUGUACAUAACUUACUGAGAUAUCACAAUUUUUAGGUACCUGUGCCUCUUCAAGGGCUUCUCGUUCAAUAUGUGCCUCUUCAAAGGCUUUUUGCAUUAUUUAUGCCUCUUCUAGGGCUAUAGAUUUAUCAAUUUUAAAUUGAUCAGUCAUUUUGAUGGCCUCUUCUAGAGUGCCAAGUUUUUCUUCGGUUCUCAUUUUCUAGGAAGUUACAUCAUUUGAGCCGACAAGUUUACCACGCUUCAGGCAUAUCUUAAAUUCAUUUGUUAACUGUCCUAUAGGGACAUCAAUCCGUGCUGGAGUAUUUGUAGUCGGGAUAUGUUACUUUGUCACUUUCUUUGUAUUAAUGAAUGCAUCUGGUAAUUGAUUUGCAAGAUUUUGCAAAUGAAUGAUCCUUUGGAAGAUGGGUCAUAGUAGAUGCCUUCCAACUAAUUUCUCAUGGUUCUUCAGGAAUCGACUUUUCUCCCCUUAAUGAUGGGAAAACACUCUCAUUAAAAUGACAAUCCGCAAAGCGGGCAGUAAAAACAUCACCUGUCAAAGGUUCAAGAUAUCUUAUGAUAGACGGAGAAUCAAAACCUACAUAAAUCCUAAGUCUUCGUUGGAAAUCCAUUUUAGUGCGUUGUGUAGGUGCAAUUGGUACAUAUACUGCACAACCAAAGAUUUGUAAGUGAGAGAUAUUUGGUUGUUUUCCAAGCACAAGUUGUGAAGGGGAAUAUUCAUGGUAAGUUGUAGGUUGAAUAUGGACUAAAGCUACAACAUGCAUAAUAACAUGUCCCUAGGUAGAAGUAGGUAAUUUGGUUUUCAUUAGUAAUGGUCGAGCUAUUAAUUGGAGACGUUUGAUGAAGGAUUCUGCUAAGCCAUUUUGGGUAUGAGUAUGAGCAACAAGAUGCUCAAUAUUUAUCCCUACUGACAUGCAAUAGUCAAUGAAUGUUUGAGAAGUAAAUUCUCCAGCAUUAUUAAGACGUAUUGUCUUAAUUGGAUAAUAUGAAAAUUGUGCUCGUAAUAUGAUUAUUUGUGCAAGGAGUCUAGCAAAGGCAACGUUACGUGUAGAAAGGAGACAAACAUGUGACCACCUAGUAGAAACAUCUAUUAAGAUCAUAAAAUAACGGAAUGGUCCACAUGGUGGAUGGAUAGGCCCACAUAUGUCCCUAUGUAUUUUUUCUAAAAAGACUGGUGACUCAGAUAUAACUUUAGUAAAAGAUGGUCUGAUUAUCAAUUUACCUUAUGAGCAGGCAACACAUGAGUAUUCAUUGGGUGAAAGAAUCUUCUAGUUCUAUAGUGGAUGUCAAUGUGAGUGUUCGAUUAUUCGACACAUCAUUGCAGACCCUGGGUGACCUAGCCUGUCAUGCUAAAGUACAAAAACUUUUGGGUCGUUGAACUUCUGGUUCACGACAACAUAUGAUUCAAUAGGCUUUAUAGUUGUAUGAUACAACCCAGAGGAGAAAGUCGGGAGUUUUUCCAUUAUAAGCUUCUGACCAGAUAUAAUGGAAGUAAUGUAAAGAUGUUCUAUAUUAUCUUCAUUCAUAGUUUCAAUAUGAUAUCCAUUUCUGCGGAUAUCUUUAAAACUAAGCAAAUUUAUUCUGGAUUUGCUAGAAUAUAAAGCAUCAUUUAUAUGAAAUCUAGUUCCAUUUGGCAACGUUAUGUUUGCUCUUCUAGAACCUUCAACUAAGUUUGUAGUACUAGAUAUGGUACUUACAUUAGCUUUUAUUAAUGUCAAUUCAAGGAAAUAUCUUUUAUCUCGAAGAAUUGUGUGCUUGGUCGCACAGUCUACGAGACACACAUCAUCCUCAUUCAUCUUGAGACCAAAUAACACAUGGAUUUCAGAUAUAACAAAAUAAAACAAGGCAUAAUGUAAAUAACAAAGUAAAUCAGAUGUAAAUAUAAGACAUAAUAAUAUAUUAUUUCAUAUAUAAAGUAACAUCAAUUAAUGUUAAUUUUCUCAUCAUUUAUCAAAUGGUCUAUUUUUUCAUUGGGACCUUCAAAGAAAUCAAUGUCAUAGUAGGUUAGGUCCAAUCCAUCACCAUCAGUAAAGUUCAUCUUUAUCUCUUUUCCUUUUGCUUUUAUUGAUGCUUGGUAAAGGUCGACUAAAUGUUUGGGCGUACGACAGGUAUGCGACCAAUGCCCCUUCAUACCACAUCUAUAACAAUUAUUCUCGUGGUUCUUAGGAGGUUUAUCUUGUAAAUGCUUCCCAUUUUCUUGUAUUGUCUCAGUAUUGUUCCAUUUCUGGUGGUGCAACGAGGCUUUCAUUUUCUGAGAAUUAUUACUAUAAGAACCAUGGUAUCGGGGAUUUUUUCCACGAUCAUGACCACGUCCAUGAAUUUGGACGAUAUUGCAUUCACUUUAAGGAAUGGUUCAGAUCCAGUUGGACGAGAUUGAUGAUUUCUCAUUAAAAGCUCAUUAUUUUGUUUAGUAACAAGAAGACAUGAUAUUAAUUCAGAAUAUUUUGUAAAUCUACACUUUCUAUAUUGCUGUUGCAGGAGCACAUUCGAGGCAUGAAACGUAGUAAAAGUUUUCUCUAACAUGUCUUCUUCUAUGAUUUUUUCUCCAUGUAGCUUUAAUUGAGAGCUGAUUUUGAAAAGUGCGGAGUUGUAUUCACUAAUAGUUUUAAAAUCUUGCGACCUUAGGUGCAUCCAAUCAUAUCAAGCUUUUGGGAGAAUCACAGUUUUCUGGUGGUCAUAUCUUUCCUUCAAAUUACUCCAUAGAGUAAAAAAGUCCUUUACCGUAAAAUACUCAUUUUUUAAACCUUCAUGGAGGUGAUGACGAAGGAAAAUCAAUGCUUUUGCGCGAUCCUGCAGGGAUGCUUGAUUUCCUUCUUUGAUUGUAGCUCCAAGGUUUAUUGCAUCAAGAUGUAAUUCAACAUCAAGGAUCCAAGAUAGAUAAUUCUUUCCCGAAAUGUCAAGUGCCACAAAUUUGAGUUUUGUGAUAUUCGACAUUGUCAAAUAACUUCAUAUAUAUGACAAAACAAUAUUAUUAGAAUCAAUUAUAAUAACUUAAUAGCAUUGGUAUAACUUUGAUUAUAAACAAAAUCAAAUAAUUUGUUUAUAAUUUUUAACAAUAUGUAACAAAACAAAUCAACAAUAAUAUAAAUAUGUAAAAUUUUAUCCUAUAUAAAUAACUUCAAGUUUAAGAUACGAGAAUUACCUUCAGAACAAUUCGUGCUAAUAAUGUGUUGUAAAAAGAGAAUAAAUGUGACUCAGAUAAUAGUAGGGAUGACUAUGUAUUACUUUAAUAAUAUAUAUAUAUAUAUAAAGGGGGAGGGGGGGAAGAAAUCAAAGAGAAGUGUUGAGAGAAUGAAAGAAAGAGAGAGAGAGAGAGAAUGAGAGGAAGAGAAUUUUUUUUUUCUCGAGAUGCUCUUACAUGGGGUGUAAGAAGCCUUUUAUAGGCUUUAUAAUAUAAACUCCCAUUACUCAUUUUAAAGAUGAGUAAAUGGAGUUCAUAAAUGACCAUCAAUGUGGUCAUUCAUCACUUCAUUUACAACAGUUAUUAAUUUGUUGUAUUACUUAGAGGGGGUGAAUGAAUUGAAAGCACUAUGGAGGUAAGCUUUUUAGUUUUUUCACCUUAUCCUCUUUAUACAUAAUGUCUCCAUCAAUGAUGUUCAGUAUAUUCCUUAUUUUUGUUUUACUUAAGUGUUCUUGUAUUGUAGCCCUCUCAAGACUCUUCCUCUUCACUCCAAACAAGUUAAUUGUCUUCAUAUCAAAGUAACAUAAGUUGAUUUUCUUAUAGGGCUAAUGCUACUUAUGUGAUUAUUUUCUUUACAAAAGUUGCAAAUAAUAUUUGAGGAUUCCUUGACAAAAUAAUUUUUAAAUUUUUAUUUUUUUAUUUUUUUUAUUUUUAUAGAGCUUGUAUCCUAAUCCCUUUAUUGCAAAGAUUAUUUUUUUACUUGCCAAAAUUAUCAAAAUUCUUGUCCCCAUUUGAGAAUUUUGAAAGAGAAGAGAUUAACUAAUGAAUUUUCUUUUCAAGUAAGUAUAUAUUUUAUUCCAAGGAAAACCUUAGCCUUUUUUAGAUAUUUUAAACUCCCCUUUUAAGUCAUUAAUUUCAACUUGAAGAGAGAUGAUUUUCUUUUUAAGAUAAGCCUGAAAGUUAUUUGAUCUAGUUUAGGUAACACCUAGAGGAGUUGAAUGGUGUUUAAACUUUUCUGCUCAAAAAUGAAUUAUUUUAUAUUCAUAUAACAAACAUUUUUUCAAUUUAGGAAAGCCUAAAAACACUCAAUACAAAAACAUAAGAUUUUUAUAUGGAAAACCACCCAUAUCAUGUGCGGAUGUAAAAACGACAAGGUCAGACUUUUAAUCAUUAAUAAACUAUUUGAAAGUAUUAUACAUGGUUUUAGUUGGUGGAAGCUAUCGUUAAGUCUUACUACCCAACACCUACAAUGCACUUCACAUUUGCGAUAUAGCACUACGUGUGCUCUUAGUGGAUCUAACCUCAGUGUUUGAGAGGAUGUAGAUCUCCUUUUCAAUCCAACAUAAGCGAAAACAACAUUCCUUGAGAGUUUUAGGAAUAAGAUGACGAAUUUGGUUUUUCAAAAAAUUUGCAUCAAACCAAAAACCUUUUUAGGUAAAACAUUUAUAGGCAUAAGAAGCUGGCAGACUGGAUCUAAAAUUUUCCAAAAUAAGACCUUAAAAAAAAUUAGAAAAUCAAAGUUCCAAAAAUUUUGGAGAAUUCUAUCAUGGGUGUUUGAGUGCUCAUGGGAGCACUUGAGUGCUUAAGGAGAUUUUUUAAACUUUUUAAAAAUUCUUUUAGCUUGGUUUUAAAACCAUUAGUUCGCACCAUGCCUUAACAAACACCAAUUUGUCAUUCUUGAACCUUUUGAUUUUUACUUGUGCCAUCCUGAUUGAUCACAUAACAACUUUGAGUCUUCAAUGAAGAGUAAAACACAAUUUAGAAAGAUUCUAAACUAGAAUGAAAGGAAUUAUAUAGCCUAAUAUACCAACAAUCUUCUCCUAUGAUAAUUUUAUGAAAAAAAAUACAAAUUACAUAAACCCCCUAAUACUCUUCAAUGGAGUUUAAGAAUCUCUCAAUAACUCUCGUCUAAACCAAAUCAUUCUUGAACAUGCAGAUGAUGAUAAAUCACAUCUAAAAGUGGGCAAUACCCCACUACUUGUGACCUGCACACACAAACCAACCAAGUACUCAAGUAAAACAAUGUGUGAGAGAAAACACAACUCAUAAAUUCUAUCAAAUCAAGGUAAGAGUAGAUGGAUGUGAGUCAUGCAUACAAUGGAUAUCUAAUCAAUAGUAUCAAUAAAUUGUCUCCCCAUUUUUGUCGCAAAAAUGACAAAGAAGGAAUAAACAAUGAAUGCACAUAAGAGAAAGAGAAACAAUUAAGCAAAAGAACUUCAACUUAUUUUUAGAAUGCUUCUUUCUUGGUAAGAUCUCUUAAGAAACCCUUCUUGAAAAUAGUUUUUUUUUUUUUGUUUUGUUUUUUAUGAUGGAAAAUUGUUUUCUACCUUAAAAACUAUAUUUGGUAAAAUUUCACUAAAAUAAUUUUUUGAAAAUAGGUUUUUUUUUUGGAACAAACGCUUUUAAAUAUAUAUAUAUAUAUAUAUAUAUAUAUAUAUAUAUAUAUAUAUAUAUAUAUAUAUAUAUAUAUAUAUAUAUAUAUAUAUAUAUAUAUAUAUAUAUAUUGUAGAAUAUUUCAAGAAAUAGUUGAAAAUAUGAAAAAUGUUUCAAGAACCUUUGUAUCUUAGAUUUGUGCACUUCAGUUUCAUGAAUAAUAUUAAACUAAGAAAACUGUUAUUUAUAUAUUAAUUUCUAAAUAAAAUUUUGUUGCUGGAAAUAAUUAAAAUUUAUUUUAAAAAACUAUUUUCAAGAAUUAUUUUUGAAAACGUUGCUAAAAAGACAAAAGUCCUUGGUCAUUUUUUUUUCUUUUAUAUUUUUAUCUUUAUCUAAGAGGCCGGUCUUUUUUUUUUUUUAAUGUUCCAUAAUCCUUGUGAAAUUGUAACGUGUAAUUCAUUUAUUUGACUUCAAAAGUUAAGAAAUAAUGAACCUUUCAUUAUUGUAGUUUGUCUUGUAGUAAGAGACUUAAAAAUCCACGUACAAGAUGUCUUUCUUUCUUAAGUCAAGUCAACAAAAUGGAGGUGGAAGAAAUAAUGAACUUUCAUUAUUGUAGUUUGUCUUGCUAAAAGCUAUGUAUAACGGGUCUUCGUAAGUCAAAUCAAUAAUCAAAUUAAAAGAAAUAAUAAACUUCCAUUAUUCUAUUUUAGAGACUUAAAAAGCCAUAUAUAACGGGUCUUCUUUUCUUAAGUCAAGUCAAUAAAAUAAAAGUAGAAGAAAUAAUGAACUUUCAUUAUUGUAGUUUGUCUUGCUAAAAGCCAUGUAUAACGGGUCUUCGUAAGUCAAAUCAAUAAAUCAAAUUAAAAGAAAUAAUAAACUUUCAUUAUUGUAUUUUAUCUUGUAGCGAGAGACUUAAAAAGCCAUGUAUAACGGGUCAUCUUUUCUUAAGUCAAGUUAAUAAAUCAAAUUAAAAGAAAUAAUAAACUUUUAUUAUUGUAUUUUAUAUUGUAGCAAGAAACUUAAAAAGCCAUGUAUAAUGGGUCUUCUUUUCUUAAGUCAAGUCAAUAAAUCAAAUUAAAAGAAAUAAUAAACUUUUAUUAUUGUAUUUUAUCUUGUAGCGAGAGACUUAAAAAGCCAUAUAUAACGGGUCAUCUUUUCUUAAGUCAAGUCAAUAAAUCAAAUUAAAAGAAAUAAUAAACUUUUAUUAUUAUAUUUUAUAUUGUAGCAAGAGACUUAAAAAACCAUGUAUAAUGGGUCAUCUUUUCUUAAGUCAAGUCAAUAAAUCAAAUUAAAAGAAAUAAUAAAUUUUUAUUAUUGUAUUUUAUAUUGUAGCAAGAGACUUAAAAAGUCAUGUAUAAUGGGUCUUCUUUUCUUAAGUCAAGUCAAUAAAUCAAAUUAAAAGAAAUAAUGAACUUUUAUUAUUGUAUUUUAUAUUGUAGCAAGAGACUUAAAAAACCAUAUAUAACGGGUCUUCUUUUCUUAAGUCAAGUCAAUAAAUCGAAUUGGAAGUUUUUCCUUUUUUUUUUUUUUUAAACCAACUUCUACUAUUACUUUUAUUAGUUAUUUUGAUCAUUUGAUUAAAUAUUGAAUUAUUAUUAUUUUUUUAAAAUUUUCAAGUACAAACCAUUUCAUGUUAAAAAAUUUAAAGUGGAUCUAACUUUCUUUACAAGUUAAGAUAUCUUGAUUAAAGGAUAAAUAAUGGAUUGUAAUAUUUCAACUUUAAUUAAGUUAAUUUAUCAAUAUUCAAACUAAGUUGGAGAAAAAAAAAAGACAACACCUCAAUUUUAGUUUUCCAUUACACAUGGUUAUUUCUUUUUCUUCUUUUUCUUUUGCUUAUUUGACACACAAUGGCAGCUCUAGUCAUCAUACCUUUCAAGACUCUAAACUCACACAAAUUUUCAAUCUUUUCAUCAUAUCUUUUAAAAUUCUUGUCACUCAUAAAGUAUUUAAGACUUAAUUUUAAUAAAUUCAUAUUUUUAUAACUAUAACUAAGAGCUUUGACCUAUUAAAAAAUGAAUCAAAAAUCGUUUGCAAGACAUUAAAAUUUCAUAAUUAUUUCUUUUACCUUAAAUGUAGUUGUUAUGUGUUUGCUAGUUCACAUAUUUGCAAUAUACCCUAGGAUGGUUGAGCUAUGUAACAUGCUUCUCGGAAUCAAUUCAUUCGGUUUUUUUUUUUUCCUUUUCCCUUUUGGUUCUACUCAUUUUAAUGUAAAGAAGAACCAAAACAUAUUCACUAGUUGAUUUUACCCUUGGUUGCACAACUAACCAUAUGGAGUCUAGACUUGAAAAUUUUAUGCAUUUUGGGUCUAACAAGUUAUGAUACUUAGACCUAGCAUUACAUGUGAAAGAAAACAAAAAAGUAAUAAUAAAAAUAUAAUUCUCAUUGGAAAAUUAAAAUUGUUAUGAAAUAUUUUAUUUUCUCAUAUGUUGUUUAGAUAUUGAUGGAUUGACUUGUUAAUUAAAGUUGAAAUAUUCUAAUAUUUUUCUGUCAUCAAGGUGUCUUAUGUGGUGACUCAAAAAUAGUAUUAAUAAAUGAUAAAAGAGAUUGUUGCUAAUCUUCAAAAUUAUAAAAAGUUUAUACACUUUGCUAGUCUUCAAAAUUAUAAAGCGUUUAUACUUUAAAAAAACAAAAUAAAUAAACAUUAGUCUAUAUUGAAUGUGUUAAUAUGAAGUACAUUGUAGCUAUAAUUUUUUAAAGGAUUAAAGAAAAAAACCAUUCAAUAUUUUGCUAGGUAUAAAAAAUCUUAUUUAUUACAAAUUAUUUUGUAGAUGAUGAAUCAUUGAUGAAGAUAGGCUAAGGAAUUUAUAAAAGGUAAAAAGUAAUUAUUCAUAUAAAUGAAAAGUGAAGGUUAUAUUUGUUAAGUAUCUUUAAAAGGGGAUUUCAAAACAUUACUUUCUCUAAUAAUAAUAAUGUAAACUCAAAAUAUAUGUAAAUGAAAAUAAAAAAUAGUAUUUUUAUAAACUUAAAAAUAAUAUAUUUGUUUUUUUAAAUAUUUUUAGUCAUAAUUAAAGGUCAUCAUAUCUGUCAAAAAUUUAUCUUUAUAUUAUUUAUUUUAAAAAUGAUUAUUCAUUAAGAAUCAUUUUGAUAAAAGGUAAAAAAUAAUUACCAUAUAAAUUAAAAGUGGAGGUUAUAUUUGUUAAUUAUUUAUAAAAGGGGAUUUCAAAACAUUACCUUCUCCAAAAAUAACAAUAAUAAUAAUAUAAACACAAUAUUGACUCAAAAUAUUAUGUAAAUGAAAAACUUAAAAAUAAUAUAUAUUUGUUUUUUUUUUUUUAAUAUUUUUAGUCAUAAUUAAACUUCAUCUACUCAUCACGUUUGUGGGAAUGGUAUAUAAGUCAAUGCCUGCUUUGCUCAGAAAUCAAAAACCAAAACUUGUUAAUCCUUGUUAUUACACACUAUCCUUGCUCUGUGUUGAACAUGGGUACAAGCCCCUUUCGAUAUUUUAUUUCCUUUUUUCUGCUUAUGCUAUGUUUUGAAGCCUGUUUGAGGGUGGGUGAUGCUAAAGUUGGGUGCAGAGAGAGGGAAAGGCAAGCACUCCUUCACUUCAAACAAGGUGUUGUGGAUGAUUUUGGAAUGCUUUCUUCUUGGGGGAAUGGGGAAGACAAAAG